AGCUGUUUCAGCAGCACAUAUACUAAAAUUGGAAUGAUACAGAGAAUAUUAUCAUUACCCCUGCCCAAGGAUGACACGCAAAUUUGUGAACCUUUCCAUAUUAAA